rnacentral:lncRNA from 1 species
UGGCCAUGCACCUGGUGAACCCCAGCUGCGACCUGUGGGGGAGCUCAGUUGGGCCGACAUUGACCACCUGCAGACACACUUCCGCUGCCAGUGCUACUUGGGCUGGAGUGGUGAGCAAUGCCAGUGGGACCAUAGGCAGGCAGCUGGAGGUGCCAGCGAGGCCUGGGCUGGGUCCCACCUCACCAGUCUGCUGGCUCUGGCAGCCCUGGCCUUUACCUGGACCUUGUAGGGGUCUCCUGCCUAGCUGCCUAGCAAG